GGACAGGAGCCGAGCACCGGGGAGGACUGUGUGCGCGGAGGGUGAUCGCUGCCGGUCAGUGUCCUGAUAAGUAUACAUUGUGUGAUCUCUACACAUUCUCCCCUGAUGGAUAUGCAUUGUGACCCGUCCUCUCUACAGCGCGGAGCUUUCCCUGCGCCAAUCACAGACCUCCUUUCAUCCGAGAUCGGCAGGGCCUGCAGAUCUGCCCCUCGCUCUUCCUGAAGUAUGGACUUUCUCUGUUGCCGACAGCUGGGGAUUCCUGGAGAUGGGAUUUUAUUGAUAAGGCUAUAAAUCACAUUGCCAGGGAUUUCCAACUGCAAGCAUCGCUAUCUACAGAGCAGAAUGGCGCCCAACCAUGCCAACCACUUGGCUUCUCACUUUGGACUUUUGGGCCGCUAACUCAGAAUUCUUGGUCUGUUUUUAUUUCCAGGUUGGUGAUCCAAAAAGGUAUUAAAGCCCAUGGGAUCUGCAUGUCACAGGUAACUAGCAUUUUCAGAGACGGGACCGGAGGUCGGCAAUGGUGGUUCUCGCCUUUAAUGGCUAAGCUUUAGAAGUAUCGGUACUGAUGGCCUUUUUUUCAGCCCCUCUAACCAUUCAUGGUUCUACAAAGCCUUGUGGUUCCCUUCCAGAUGAAAGUGCAGCUGCAGAAUGGUGGUCGAGUGUUGGAGGUGUAGGGCUUAGCUGCCUUGUGAACAUUUAAUAUAUAGGCAUGUUCACAGUGGCUAAGUUCCGCGUCUCUGCACGGUUUUCAUGUUGGAUCUGCUGGCAUGUCUGGUGCUGGCUGCUGGUGCCGACUCCCGUGCCUACUGAUCUGAUUUAGUGGUGCCUAAUUAUUCACCUGGCUCAGUUCAGCAGGACAGGAGUUGGGGCCAAGACGCUUCAUCAGAACGACCAUCUUAGUUUCCGCCUGACCACACACACGUGUUCGUUGGGCCCCGUCCACACGUGAGCAUUUUUUCUGCUUGACUCUUGUAGCUCCAAAACACUCAACCCAAAUGCCAUUCUUUUCGAUGGCCCAUGGCACCAUUUUAUAGACAUGGUAACAUCGUCUUUUUGUACUCCCAAACCUUGGAGAAAUAAAUUUGUUGAAAAUGGGUUUAUGGCUGGAUUCACUUUGGUUUUUGGCUUAAUUGAAAUCCAUGAGCAUGCAUUAUAACAUGCUUUGACAUUCGGUACUGCAUUGCAAUGUGUGGCUAAUGCUGAACAAUAAAAUGUUGACUUUUUUUUUUGUUGAACGCAUUUUUUUUAUUAUGUGAUGUAGGUGCACGAAAUUAUUAAAUAAAAGUCUGGAAAAAAA